rnacentral:rRNA from 1 species
UACGUAGGGUGCAAGCGUUAAUCGGAAUUACUGGGCGUAAAGCGUGCGCAGGCGGCUUGCAAGACAGAUGUGAAAUCCCCGGGCUUAACCUGGGAACUGCAUUGUGACUGCAUGGCUGGAGUGCGGCAGAGGGGAUGGAAUCCGCGUGUAGCAGUGAAAUGCGUAGAUACUGCGGAGGAACACCGAUGGCGAAGGGCAUCCCCUGGGCCUGCACUGACGCUCAUGCACGAAAGCGUGGGGAGC